CACGUAGGCACCAAGCGUUGUCCGGAUUUAUUGGGCGUAAAGAGCUCGUAGGCGGUUCAGUAAGUCGGGUGUGAAAACUUUGGGCUUAACCCAAAGCGUGCAUCCGAUACUGCUGUGACUUGAGUUCGGUAGGGGAGUGGGGAAUUCCUAGUGUAGCGGUGAAAUGCGCAGAUAUUAGGAGGAACACCGGUGGCGAAGGCGCCACUCUGGGCCGAAACUGACGCUGAGGAGCGAAAGCUGGGUAGCAAACAGG
rnacentral:rRNA from 1 species